rnacentral:rRNA from 1 species
GACGUAGGGGGCAAGCGUUGUCCGGAAUUAUUGGGCGUAAAGAGCUUGUAGGCGGUUUGUCGCGUCUGCCGUGAAAUUUCGAGGCUCAACCUCGAACUUGCGGUGGGUACGGGCAGACUAGAGUGUGGUAGGGGAGACUGGAAUUCCUGGUGUAGCGGUGAAAUGCGUAGAUAUCAGGAGGAACACCUGCGGUGUAGACGGCUUUCUGGACCAUUGCUGACGCUGAGACACGAAAGCGUGGGUAGCAAACAGG